GUCUACAGCCAUGCCACCCUGAACAAGCCCAAUGUCUGAUCUCGGAAGCUAAGCCUGUCAGGCCUGGUUAGUACUUGGAUGGGAGACCACCUAGGAAGACCAGGUGCUGUAGGCA
rnacentral:rRNA from 1 species